GAUGAACGCUAGCUACAGGCUUAACACAUGCAAGUCGAGGGGCAGCAUGGUCUUAGCUUGCUAAGGCCGAUGGCGACCGGCGCACGGGUGAGUAACACGUAUCCAACCUGCCGUCUACUCUUGGACAGCCUUCUGAAAGGAAGAUUAAUACAAGAUGGCAUCAUGAGUCCGCAUGUUCACAUGAUUAAAGGUAUUCCGGUAGACGAUGGGGAUGCGUUCCAUUAGAUAGUAGGCGGGGUAACGGCCCACCUAGUCUUCGAUGGAUAGGGGUUCUGAGAGGAAGGGCCCCCACAAUGGGACCGAGAACCGGGCCAAAAUUCUACGGGAGGCAGCAAUGGAGAAUAAUUGGCCAAUGGCGGAGGCCUGAAACCGGCAAAGAAGCGUAAAGGUGGCUGCCCUAUGGGUUGUUAACUUCUUUUAAAAAGGAAUAAAAGCCGGUAAGGAUACCCGUUUGCCUGUUCCUUAAGAAUAAAGAACCGCUAACCCCGUG
rnacentral:rRNA from 1 species